UUGUGCACGCCAAAGAGGAAAGGGGGACUGGGGUUUAGAGACCUUCACAGUUUUAAUCUUGCUUUAUUAGCAAAACAGUGUUGGUGUCUGAUCCAGAAUCCAGAAUCUUUGUGUGCUCGAGUUCUCAGUGCUAAAUACUAUCCAGAUGGAAACAUAUUGAAUGCAGGGCCGAAGAAGGGAUCCUCCUUUACGUGGCAGAGUAUCGUUGCUGGGAUUCAAACGUUCAAACGAGGAUGUAUUUGA
rnacentral:rRNA from 1 species